rnacentral:rRNA from 1 species
UACGUAGGGUGCGAGCGUUAAUCGGAAUUACUGGGCGUAAAGCGUGCGCAGGCGGUUCGCUAAGACCGAUGUGAAAUCCCCGGGCUUAACCUGGGAACUGCAUUGGUGACUGGCGGGCUAGAGUGUGGCAGAGGGGGGUAGAAUUCCACGUGUAGCAGUGAAAUGCGUAGAGAUGUGGAGGAAUACCGAUGGCGAAGGCAGCCCCCUGGGAUAACACUGACGCUCAUGCACGAAAGCGUGGGGAGCAAACAGG